UACAGAGGGGGCAAGCGUUGUUCGGAAUUACUGGGCGUAAAGGGCGCGUAGGCGGCCCGCUAAGUCGAACGUGAAAUCCCCGAGCUCAACUCGGGAACUGCGUCCGAUACUGGCGGGCUUGAAUCCGGGAGAGGGAUGCGGAAUUCCAGGUGUAGCGGUGAAAUGCGUAGAUAUCAUUUGGAACGCCAAUGGUGAAAACAGGUAGCUGGGAGUGUGCUGACGCUGAGACACGAAAGCCAGGGGAGCAAACGGG
rnacentral:rRNA from 1 species